CAUCCAUACGGCAAGUAAAGCCCCGCAUUUGAGCAUACGCAGUGAAUAGACGACUUAAAACAGAAAGCAAGCGACCAGCGAUGUCAGGACCGUACAAUUCAUGAACUGAGUGAACUAAGCCAAAAGCCGAGGCACCAAAAGAGGACUUAUCAAGAAUACCGCAUAAAAGUUCACCAUCAUCAAAUAAUACUGAUCCCUCCUCUGAGUCAGGUGACCAGUAUUUUCCUGGAACCUUUGCUUUGCUUUUAAGAUUAAGACCAGGACGAUCACUGGGUUUUAGGUUGAGCAAAACAGAAGAUAUUAUUUGUUUACCUGUCCAGUAUAUACCCGGACGUUGUAUGGCAGGAGGAAGAGUUUUGAUACGCCCAUACAUACCGGUUUCAUCAGGCUUUAAAGCCUGAAAUAGAAGUUGCUGAUAUUCAUCUCGAGUAUAAAAUGUAUCUUUACAGGUAAGCCAAACACCCAUUACGACAUGGUCUUGAAUAAGACCGCGCAAAGGAUCACCAGAGGUAGGCACCAAAUAUUGAGAGUCUGUGUUUGCAAUAAAUUGAGCCUCAGAACGCGCAUUGGUACUUUGUGGAAAAUGCAUGUUCAUUUCGUCGCCAUCGAAAUCAGCAUUGUAAGAGUUGCAAUUUGCGUAAUG